rnacentral:rRNA from 1 species
GACGAACCGUGCGAACGUUGUUCGGAUUCACUGGGCUUAAAGGGCGCGUAGGCGGGUGAUCAAGUCAGGGGUGAAAUCCUCCAGCUUAACUGGAGAACAGCCUCUGAUACUGGCCAUCUGGAGGAAGGUAGGGGCAUGUGGAACUAAUGGUGGAGCGGUGAAAUGCGUAGAUAUCAUUAGGAACGCCGGUGGCGAAAGCGACGUGCUGGACCUUUUCUGACGCUGAUGCGCGAAAGCCAGGGGAGCAAACGGGGAUUAAGAAACCC